CUAGCCGUAAACGAUGGAUACUAGGUGUUAGAGGUAUCGACCCCUCUAGUGCCGGAGCUAACGCAUUAAGUAUCCCGCCUGGGGAGUACGACCGCAAGGUUGAAACUCAAAGGAAUUGAC
rnacentral:rRNA from 1 species